rnacentral:lncRNA from 1 species
AGAGACCCCAGGACGCCACAAAGAGGUGCAAGUAAAAGGUGGAGAAACCGAAGAGAAAGAGAAGCAGAAGGAUGUGGGCGCAAUGGAGAAAGAUGUUACUGAGACUUCAGGGUAGUGAUGCCCACCUACGACCAUGAUGGAAUCUUGGCCUGUGCUGCGGCCAAGGACCAUGUCUAGGUCUGUGGCCAUGCAGUUGCCACCAAAGGCCAGGCACACGUCCCUGGUCUGGGCUGUUGAUUAUGGACACGUUGAUAUAUGUGAUCUGCGCAGAACUGGGUCUGCUACUCACAUGGACAUAGUGGGAGUGCUGGACCUGAGGAGUUAAGAGAAGGAGCGCUCAUCUCGUCCCUAACCAGCUGGGUAGAACUGGCACAUGACCCUGAAAGGACAGUAGAGUUGUUCCUCUUUGCUUGUGAGUAUUGCUGGUGAACCAGCCCGAGGGUAUGAACAUGGGCAAGCUGUCCCUGCAUCUUGUCUGCUGGGCAGUGAAGUAGGAGAAGAACAAGAUGCCCACUUCGACAUGUGCCCCCUGCCACCUAUGGCAGAAAAGAGAGAUGGACCCAGAGUCGUGAGAGCAGGAGAGCUGUCCCUGUCCCUCACCUUCUGCAGCACAUGGGUGAGGGGACCUUGUACCUUGCCUGAGCCAUAGAGUAGAGAUGAUCCUGAUGGCAUGAGAACAGGAGCGGUGGCUCUGCUCCUUUCUGUCUGUAGCACUGGAUGACCUAGCCUGGGCAGGGCAGGAGAGCUUGCCUUGGCAGUGUGAGUGUGGGAGAGCUAGUGAGCUCCAGGGCUUUGAAUUGGCUCAUCCCAACAUCUACCCCAUUGAUGAACUGCUGGAGUGCAUGCAGGGGCCAGUCCUACAGAUCCAAAACGACAGCAUCUCUAUGACACAAGGCAACAACGGGAUAUCCAAAAGACAGCCCCUGAGGUUCCCAUAUUGCAAAUGUAGCAGGAGACAGAGGCCUUGAACCAGACCAAUGACUCAGUGUAAUGAACGUUUGAAAGCAAAGAAGUGUGGUCAAAAGUCUCUACUUUGGGACACAAUGUGUCACAUUACAGUUUCAACAAG